GAUGAACGCUGGCGGCGUGCUUAACACAUGCAAGUCGAACGGAAAGGCCCAAGCUUGCUUGGGUACUCGAGUGGCGAACGGGUGAGUAACACGUGGGUGAUCUGCCCUGCACUUCGGGAUAAGCCUGGGAAACUGGGUCUAAUACCGGAUAGGACCACUUCUUGGAUGUUGUGGUGGAAAGUUUUUUCGGUGUGGGAUGAGCUCGCGGCCUAUCAGCUUGUUGGUGGGGUAAUGGCCUACCAAGGCGUCGACGGGUAGCCGGCCUGGGAGGGUGUACGGCCACAUUGGGACUUAGAUACGGCCCAGACUCCUACGGGAGGCAGCAGUGGGGAAUAUUGCACAAUGGGCGCAAGCCUGAUGCAGCGACGCCGCGUGGGGGAUGACGGCCUUCGGGUUGUAAACUCCUUUCGCUAGGGACGAAGCGUUUUGUGACGGUACCUGGAGAAGAAGCACCGGCUAACUACGUG
rnacentral:rRNA from 1 species